rnacentral:rRNA from 1 species
UCCGUAGGUGAACCUGCGGAAGGAUCAUUACCGAGUUGAUUCGGGCUCCGUCCCGAUCCUCCCACCCUUUGUAUACCUACCUCUGUUGCUUUGGCGGGCCGCGGUCUUCCGCGGCCGCCCCCCGAUUUUGGGGGGUGGCUAGUGCCCGCCAGAGGACUAUCAAACUCCAGUCAGUAAACGUUGCAGUCUGAAAAAAAUAUUAAAUAAACUAAAACUUUCAACAACGGAUCUCUUGGUUCUGGCAUCGAUGAAGAACGCAGCGAAAUGCGAUAAGUAAUGUGAAUUGCAGAAUUCAGUGAAUCAUCGAAUCUUUGAACGCACAUUGCGCCCCUUGGUAUUCCGGGGGGCAUGCCUGUUCGAGCGUCAUUUCAACCCUCAAGCUCUGCUUGGUAUUGGGCACCGUCCUUUGCGGGCGCGCCUCAAAGACCUCGGCGGUGGCGUCUUGCCUCAAGCGUAGUAGAAUACACCUCGCUUCGGAGCGUAAGGCGUCGCCCGCCGGACGAACCUUCUGAACUUUUCUCAAGGUUGACCUCGGAUCAGGUAGGGAUACCCGCUGAACUUAAGCAUAUCAAUAGGCGGAGGA